GAUGAACGCUGGCGGCGUGCUUAACACAUGCCAGUCGAACGAUGAAGCCCAGCUUGCUGGGUGGAUUAGUGGCGAACGGGUGAGUAACACGUGAGUAACCUGCCCUUAACUCUGGGAUAAGCCUGGGAAACUGGGUCUAAUACCGGAUAGGAGCGUCCACCGCAUGGUGGGUGUUGGAAAGAUUUAUCGGUUUUGGAUGGACUCGCGGCCUAUCAGCUUGUUGGUGAGGUAAUGGCUCACCAAGGCGACGACGGGUAGCCGGCCUGAGAGGGUGACCGGCCACACUGGGACUGAGACACGGCCCAGACUCCUACGGGAGGCAGCAGUGGGGAAUAUUGCACAAUGGGCGCAAGCCUGAUGCAGCGACGCCGCGUGAGGGAUGACGGCCUUCGGGUUGUAAACCUCUUUCAGUAGGAAAGAAGCGAAAGUGACGGUACCUGCAGAAGAAGCACCGGCUAACUACGUG
rnacentral:rRNA from 1 species